AUCAUCACGAGGCUUGACAAGAUGAAGAACAAUUCUGCUUUUGUUUGAGCAACACUUUACAGCCUGAAACUGAACACUUGAUUGGAAGCAAUGCUCCCGCCCCAUCCCCAGGGGACCACAUGAAUCUAAUCAGGCAGGAAGUUUAGAAGAUUGAGAAUGAGGUGCCUAGAUAGCGAUUUGGCCUGGGUACAUCAGCAAAUGGUAGUGCUUCUUGGUCACUUCCUACCUUUCCCUUAGAAGGGCAGGAAGGAACAUCUUCCUUCACAGGUCCUAUGCAUUUCUGAGAAGAAAAAAGAAUAGUGACUUUGGACCUAAUUCAAAGGGGGAGGUUACAAGGCAUUGUGACAGGCUUUUCCCUUUCUCCCCACGCACAGAGUCCUUUCAUGUUUUUCUAAACCUCAACUUUAACGCUGUCAAUGGUGGGAAACUAAAGUGGAGCUCACUCUCUUCUUUCUUUUCUUACAGAUCUUUAAGACGAAGGAGGCCAGAUGACAGAUGUGUUUUAUUAAUGGGACUUAUGCUUAAAUUCCUGCCCAGCACCCAUCUAGGAAAUUCUGCUUCCAUUACAUCAGCAUGAAGCCCAGGACACACUGAAGUCCAAUCCAGAAAGAGGGAAGAGGACACCAUUUAGGCUCCAUAAAUACAGCAAAACUGAAUGAUAUGGUUCUAUAAACGACCUUAAUAAUAAAAAUCUGUGAAGCACAGUCUGUUUUCA
rnacentral:lncRNA from 1 species